CUCAGAGCUUCUGUGUCCACUGCAGGCGUGCUGCCCUCCCAGCACUAUCGGGGGAACCCAUCCCCAAUAUUUCAACGUAGGUUCUUUCUAUUUUCCCUAAGUGUCGGCCAGUCUGAGAAAUAGAGUACAAAGAGGAAGUUUAGAGCUGGGCUGCCAGGGGUGACAUCACAUAGUGGUAGGACCGUGAUGCCCACCUGAGCCGCACAACCAGCAGGUUUUUAUUAAGGACUUCAAAAGGGGAGGGGGUGUACGAACAGGGAGUAGGUCACAAAGAUCACAUGCUUCAAAGGGCAAAAGGGAGAACAAAGAUUACGUGCUUCUGAGGCCAAUAAAGAUCACAAGGCAAAGGGCAAAAUCAAAAACUCCUGGUAAGGGUCUAUGUUCAGCUGUGCAUGUAUUGUCUUGAUAAACAUCUUAAACAACAGAAAACAGGGUUCAAGAGCAGAGAACCAGUCUGACCUCAGAUUUACCAGGGAGUGGUUUUUUCCCCCACCCUAACAAUCCUGAGGGUACUGCAGGAGACCAGGGCGUAUUUCAGUCUUUAUCUCAACUGCGUAAGACAGACACUCCCAGAGCAAGCAUUUAUAGACCUCCCCCAAGGAAUGCAAUUAUUUUCCUAGGGUCUUAAUAUUCCUUGUUAGGAAAAGAAUUUAGCGAUAUCUCUCCUACUUGCACGUCCGUUUAUAGGCUCUCUGCAAGAAGAAAAAUAUGGCUCUUUUUGCCCGAACCCACAGGCAGUCAGACCUUAUGGUUGUCUUCCCUUGUUCCCUAAAAUCGCUGUUCUGUUCAUUUUCAAGGUGCACUGAUUUCAUUAUUGUUCAAACACACGUUUUUUUUUUUUUUUGGUUUGUUUGUUUUUUGAGAUGGAGUCUCACUCUGUCGCCCAGGCUGGAGUGCAACUCCGUCUCAAAAAACAAACAAAAAGAUGGUUGCUACACUACAACCUAGUUUAGGGUUGGAUUUUUGAAGAUUUCCAGCUGGCAAAACUUGGGAGGGUACAGCUGGUGGUCCAUCUUAUGUGGAAAGGAAGGUGUCUGAAUUUACUGAUCUGCAAGCAUUCCCAUGCAGUUACGCACUGUCCAGCUGG
rnacentral:lncRNA from 10 species